UGGCGGACGGGUGAGUAAUGUCUGGGAAACUGCCCGAUGGAGGGGGGUAACUACUGGAAACGGUAGCUAAUACCGCAUAACGUCGCAAGACCAAAGAGGGGGACCUUCGGGCCUCUUGCCAUCGGAUGUGCCCAGAUGGGAUUAGCUAGUAGGUGGGGUAACGGCUCACCUAGGCGACGAUCCCUAGCUGGUCUGAGAGGAUGAUCAGCCACACUGGAACUGAGACACGGCCCAG
rnacentral:rRNA from 1 species